UUGGAAGACACCUGUCCAGGUGUUUAGCUCUUCAGGUGGGGCUGGUAUGAGGUGAGUGUCACCUGUCUAGGUAUUUAGGCAUUCAAGUAGGCUUGGUUGGAGACAGCUGUCCAGAUACUUACUGGGUCUGGAUUGGGGGCUUUUGUUCAGGUGCUCAGGUAUUAAAGUGGGGCUGGUGAAGAUGUUGAAGUGGAGGGGAUACCUGUUGAGGUGUUUACCUAUCCAAGUGGGAUGCACUGGGAGCACCUCUGUAAGGUGUGUGAUUGGAAAGGGUUGGGGAACACUUAUUUGUGUGUCAGGGAACAAUCUGUCUAGAUAUUUAUGUGUUUAAGGUGUUGGUUAGGGCAGCUGUCCAUGUUUUCAGGUAUUUAAGUGGGUGAAGUAGAGGGCGCUUGGCCAGAUAUUCCAGUGGGCUAAUCUGGGACAUUUGUGUAGAUGUGAAAUGAUUAUGAUGGGCUGGAUUUUGCAGCACCAGGUGUUCAGGUAUUUAAGUGGGUGAAGUAGAG
rnacentral:lncRNA from 1 species